rnacentral:rRNA from 1 species
AACGUAGGUGGCGAGCGUUAUCCGGAUUUACUGGGCGUAAAGCGUGUGCAGGCGGGAUGGGAAGUGGAGUAUGAAAUCUCCGAGCUUAACUUGGAGGGGUUAUGCCAGACUGCCAUUCUAGAGUGCGAGAGAGGAAUGUGGAAUUCCGGGUGUAGCGGUGGAAUGCGUAGAGAUCCGGAAGAACACCGGAGGCGAAGGCGGCUGGCUGGGCCUGAUCUGACGCUGAGGUGCGAAAGCGUGGGGAGCGAACAGG